CAGGCAGAGAUCUGCAGGGCAGGAGAGAAGCUUGGAAAGAAGUAAAUUAUCUGAUGCAACAUGGGAAAAGUGCCUGGCAUUGUGGAAUAUUCAGUCAGUCAAAGAAAUGAACAUAGAGCUGGAAACAGCUUACAUAAACCCGUGAAGAGAAGCAAAGAAGACCAGAGAGCCCUUAGGUGAUUGACGUUGGACUUCUCAUGUAUCUUGACAGGUGACUCUAUUUCCAGUCCUGGACACAUUUUGAAUUCAGAAAGGGGGCUUUUACCAGAAGACUGAUUGGCAUUCUCAAAGGGGCAUUAUAAUGUGAUAUUAUCUUGGCAAGUUUGCCACAGCCCAGGGUCCGCUCUCAGCUUGUCAACUUCCAGUGUUAUCAGAAGGUCAUCUGCCUACCCUAUAAUCAGAGUAAAUGAAGGUUGUGGUCUCAAGAGAUACUUUUAUCAUGACUAAGGGGAACCCAAUAAAUCACCCAGCUCCACAGCAGAAAUCACCUCUCCAAUGACAGCAAAGCUUGUGCUCAUCAGCAGCUUGAACAGUGCCAGACAAACUGCUAACUUCUGGCUCUUUGUAUUUCUCUCCUCCUCACAGGCAACUACCAAAUGGCACCACCACUCAGGUCUGAUUCAGUGAAUCUUCUCAAGACACAUCCGUCUAACAGGCAUUCUUCUGGUUCAGUUCCGUCAUGGACUAGUCACAGCCGUGGGGUGGGAGUUUUAUAAUAACUUCCUGGAAAAUACUUGAACAGUAUUAUACGUAUUAGCAAUGAUGUGCGCUCAUUUCACAACUGGAAGACAAGUUUUGGAACAGAUGCAGAGAUUGUUUAGUUGGAUUUGUAAAUGCACUCAUGGAUGCACCUGCUU